rnacentral:rRNA from 1 species
GAUGAACGCUGGCGGCGUGCCUAAUACAUGCAAGUCGAGCGAACAGACGAGGAGCUUGCUCCUCUGACGUUAGCGGCGGACGGGUGAGUAACACGUGGAUAACCUACCUAUAAGACUGGGAUAACUUCGGGAAACCGGAGCUAAUACCGGAUAACAUGUUGAACCGCAUGGUUCAACAGUGAAAGACGGUCUUGCUGUCACUUAUAGAUGGAUCCGCGCCGCAUUAGCUAGUUGGUAAGGUAACGGCUUACCAAGGCAACGAUGCGUAGCCGACCUGAGAGGGUGAUCGGCCACACUGGAACUGAGACACGGUCCAGACUCCUACGGGAGGCAGCAGUAGGGAAUCUUCCGCAAUGGGCGAAAGCCUGACGGAGCAACGCCGCGUGAGGGAAGAAGGUCUUCGGAUUGUAAAACUCUGUUAUUAGGGAAGAACAAAUGUGUAAGUAACUAUGCACGUCUUGACGGUACCUAAUCAGAAAGCCACGGCUAACUACGUG